GACGAACGCUGGCGGCGUGCUUAACACAUGCAAGUCGAACGGUGAAGGGGAGCUUGCUCCCCGGAUCAGUGGCGAACGGGUGAGUAACACGUGGGCAACCUGCCCCUGACUCUGGGAUAACGCUUCGAAAGAGGUGCUAAUACCGGAUACGAACUCCCUUGGCAUCUUGGGAGUUGGAAAGUUUUUCGGUCAGGGAUGGGCCCGCGGCCUAUCAGCUUGUUGGUGAGGUAACGGCUCACCAAGGCGACGACGGGUAGCCGGCCUGAGAGGGCGACCGGCCACACUGGGACUGAGACACGGCCCAGACUCCUACGGGAGGCAGCAGUGGGGAAUAUUGCGCAAUGGGCGAAAGCCUGACGCAGCAACUCCGCGUGAGGGAUGACGGCCUUCGGGUUGUAAACCUCUUUCAGCAGGGAAGAAGCGAAAGUGACGGUACCUGCAGAAGAAGCACCGGCUAACUACGUGCCAGCCGCCGCCGUAAAAC
rnacentral:rRNA from 1 species